GCAGCAACGCCGCGUGGAGGAUGACACUUUUCGGAGCGUAAACUCCUUUUCUGUUAGAAGAUAAUGACGGUAUAACAGGAAUAAGCACCGGCUAACUCCGUGCCAGCAGCCGCGGUAAUA
rnacentral:rRNA from 1 species